rnacentral:lncRNA from 10 species
GGAGGGGAAGGGAAGGGAAAAACUGUAGUUUCAAGGGGUUAAGUAUGUUGCCCAAAGCCAAAGCCACUUUGGGCUCACUAGCUACCAGCUAGUAAGUGGUGAUGUGGAGACUCACCCAACUCAGGUAAAGUCCAUGAUCUUCACCACAGCAUCUGUGUUCUUGUCACUUUCUGGGACGGUGUUUCUCUCUUCUGAGUCCUCCACCCCCUCACCUGUGGUUUGGAUUGGUUGGAGUUUGACUGAGUAGUAAUGGCCACUUGGUUGGUUUCCAUGGCCUGGCGUGUGCUGUAGCUGUAGGAGAGGGCUGCCUGUGUCCAUGAGAACAAGGAAGCCUUCAGGAGAGAAAUCAGCCACUGCCACCCCCCAGUCCUUUAGGAGGCAGUCAGGCUGCUGACAAAGGGACCUCACGCUCCUCCCACGCAUUGCCUGGACCAGCUGGCAGCCCACAGGGGUGGCUUCAGGUCACUUCCUGCUGCAGAGUCCUCACUCCAGCUUUCUCACCAAUCCUCCCCCUACACAAGAAGAUCAUCUCUGGGUUCAGGUCACCCAUCCAACUCCACUGAUGGAUUUAGGCUCAUUUAAUCCAAACUCGACUCCAUUUCAGCCAGAACCAGGCACCUCUAGAAAGGUCACCCUAACUGCCACAUCCAGUUCCUGAUCUGCCAUCUGCUUCUUUUCCAUCACUUGUGGGGUAUUUCCCAGCCUACCACUAAUGUGAGCCCUCCUGAGUCAAAAGUUCCCCUCUUCCAGGCCUCCUGCUCAGCUGACGUCCUGGACCAGGUGUGACAUGGGCCUCUGUGACCCAAGCUGAGGACUAACCCACCGCUCAUAACACGGUUUCUACGGGAAAACCAAGUUGUGAAUUUUGAAUUAUCAGCCCACUGAGGGUGGAAGUCCAAGAUCUGUGGUGAUUUGGGUGCUGAUGCAAGCCAGAAGUCACAGCCCAGAGCCUGCAGCGGCUGCACUGCUGGGUCCCCAGUCCUCGAUGGGCACCAGCCAACCUGCCCUCUCGACCCUCCACAGCAACUCAGGCCCCCACUCCAUGGCUCCCCUGCACCAUCCUCAUGCCUGGUCAACUCUUGCUGCCAGUUGCUGUGAGACCCAGCUCACCACUGGGCAAACAGAGCUUGCAAAAUGCAGCCCAUGCUCACCAUUCAUGGAUUCCAUAUGUACAAAUUCACCUACCUGCGAAAUUGUAUCUGUAACCCCAAAAUCAAUACUGGCUGCACUUUUGGGGUCAUUCUCGGACACACACAGAGUGGGGAAGAAUGAGGGCUGCUCAACACGCACAUUCCCAGCGGGGGUGGAACAAGGCCCGCUCAGCCUGCUGGCUUCAGCUCCCACAAUGCAAACAAGUGUCCUUUUCGCAGGCUAUUUGGUGCCACAUUUUUCAUGCUUUUGUGCUUUGUGUUGGUGAUUUCACUGUUUAAAAUGUCCCCUAAGCAUAUUCGAAGCAACCUGGAUGAGACUGGAGACUAUUAUUCUAAGUGAAGUAACUCAGGAAUGGAAAACCAAACAUUGUCUGUUCUCACUCAUAAGUGAGAGCUAAGCUAUGAGGAUGCAAAGGCAUAAGAAUGACACAAUGGACUUUGGGGACUCAGGGAGAAAGAGUGGGAAGGGGGUGAGGGAUAAAAGACUACAAACUGGGUUCAGUGUAUGCUUCCCAGGUGAUGAGUGCACCAAAAUCUCACAAAUCACCACUAAAGAACUGACUCAUGUAACCAAAUGCCACCUGUUCCCCAAUAACCUAUGAAAAUAAAAAAAAAAAUUAAUGUCCCCCAAG